CUUUUUCAUUUUCUUUUUCUUUUUCUCUUUCUUUCUCCCUCUCAUUCUCUCUUCUCUCUCGGCACCAAACCCUAACUCCUCCCUCCCUCCCUCCCGAUUCCAUCUCCCUCUCAAUUCAUCUCACUCUUUCCCAAUCUCUCACUUUCCAUAACCAAACCCAACCCCACCUCUCUUCUCUCCCGCGCGACAAACACCAAAACGGCCUAAGCCACCGUCGACCUCCAUUGAAGCCGGCAAAGCUUUUGGCUAUUCGGCUAAGCUUGUUCAUCUUUAGCUCUAUAAUCUCUUGGUCUCCAUCAUAGUCAUCAUCUCUGACCGAUUUAGGCCAAUAAGACCUCAAUUUCAAGCUCCGACGAGCUCUGAAUUUUCCGGCGAACUUCUGGCAAGGUUCCGGUCAUCUCCUCCUGCCACGGUUAGGCCGGAAAUUCCUCGUUUCAUCCUGAAUCUCCUCAUUUUCAUCUCGUCUUCUCAUUUGUGCGUCGGAUGCAGCGUAGAUGAAAAACUCUUGCUAGGAAAAGAGUACAGAGAGCUCCUCCAUCUCUAGUGUGAAUAAAGUUCAAACAGGCUAACAAGAGCCAUUUAGCCCAAUUUUGGAGCUAAGGAGCAAAGUUGGAAAGAAGCUAAGAAAAUGGUCUCAGAGGAACUUCGAUCGAUUAAAGGGAAUCCCGAUCAAUCGAAGUUAAGGCGGUGCCAGCUCAGCAAAGUGGAUAAGGCCUGGAAGAUAUUUUAAUGCUACGUCACCUUCGAUCGAUCGAAGUUAAGUGUUUGAUUGAUCGAAGAUCUUCGAUUGAUCAAACUGCCUGCUGGCAGUGUGCUGUUUAAUUCUCGAGUGCGCCGAAUUUUACUUAAUUUGUGUAGCUACGAAUUUUCUAUAAUCAUAGGCUCUAUUUCUAACUUGGUGCCUACUCAAAGGGCAAGGUAAUGAAUUAAUUGAACAUCUGUCUUGUAAUUUAGAGAGAGGUAGAUAUUUUUAUAGUUUUCUCUUUAGAACUAGGGUUUUGGGAAGAAAACAAGGAUAAAGAUGAUGAUGCCAACCUCCAAGCUAGCCUUUGAGGGUUCCAUGACCACUACAAUAAGUGACUAAAUCCUUCACUUGGGGCUAGAGAUAACCCCUAAGUUUGCUUCCUAGACCUAGUCUUUUGUACAUUUUUGGGGAUUUUAGUUGUAAUAAAUGUUUUGACCUUGAAUAAAUAUAGAUCUUGUGAUUUCUACUUAAUUUGUAUGGAUUAAUG